GUAGGUGGCGAGCGUUGUCCGGAUUUAUUGGGUUUAAAGGGUGCGUAGGCGGCCCUGUAAGUCAGCGGUGAAAUAUGGCAGCUCAACUGUCGAGGUGCCGUUGAUACUGCGGGGCUUGAGUGUUGAUGAGGCAGGCGGAAUUGACGGUGUAGCGGUGAAAUGCUUAGAUAUCGUCAAGAACACCGAUAGCGAAGGCAGCCUGCCAAGCAACAACUGACGCUGAGGCACGAAAGUGCGGGGAUCAAACAGGAUUAGAUACCCUGGUAGUCCGCACAGUAAACGAUGGUCACUCGAUGUCGGCGAUACACUGCCGGCGUCUUAGCGAAAGCGAUAAGUGACCCACCUGGGGAGUACGCCCGCAAGGGUG
rnacentral:rRNA from 1 species